GACGAACGCUGGCGGCGUGCUUAAUACAUGCAAGUCGAACGGAAAGGCCCUGCUUUUGUGGGGUGCUCGAGUGGCGAACGGGUGAGUAACACGUGAGUAACCUGCCCUUGACUUUGGGAUAACUUCAGGAAACUGGGGCUAAUACCGGAUAGGAGCUCCUGCUGCAUGGUGGGGGUUGGAAAGUUUCGGCGGUUGGGGAUGGACUCGCGGCUUAUCAGCUUGUUGGUGGGGUAGUGGCUUACCAAGGCUUUGACGGGUAGCCGGCCUGAGAGGGUGACCGGCCACAUUGGGACUGAGAUACGGCCCAGACUCCUACGGGAGGCAGCAGUGGGGAAUAUAGCACAAUGGGCGGAAGCCUGAUGCAGCAACGCCGCGUGCGGGAUGACGGCCUUCGGGUUGUAAACCGCUUUCGCCUGUGACGAAGCGUGAGUGACGGUAAUGGGUAAAGAAGCACCGGCUAACUACGUG
rnacentral:rRNA from 1 species